AGUCGUAACAAGGUUUCCGUAGGUGAACCUGCGGAAGGAUCAUUAAAUAAUCAAUAAUUUUGGCUUGUCCAUUAUUAUCUAUUUACUGUGAACUGUAUUAUUACUUGACGCUUGAGGGAUGCUCCACUGCUAUAAGGAUAGGCGGUGGGGAUGUUAACCGAGUCAUAGUCAAGCUUAGGCUUGGUAUCCUAUUAUUAUUUACCAAAAGAAUUCAGAAUUAAUAUUGUAACAUAGACCUAAAAAAUCUAUAAAACAACUUUUAACAACGGAUCUCUUGGUUCUCGCAUCGAUGAAGAACGUAGCAAAGUGCGAUAACUAGUGUGAAUUGCAUAUUCAGUGAAUCAUCGAGUCUUUGAACGCAACUUGCGCUCAUUGGUAUUCCAAUGAGCACGCCUGUUUCAGUAUCAAAACAAACCCUCUAUCCAGCAUUUUGUUGAAUAGGAAUACUGAGAGUCUCYUGAUCUAUUCUGAUCUCGAACCUCUUGAAAUGUACAAAGGCCUGAUCUUGUUUAAAUGCCUGAACUUUUUUUUAAUAUAAAGAGAAGCUCUUGCGGUAAACUGUGCUGGGGCCUCCCAAAUAAUACUCUUUUUAAAUUUGAUCUGAAAUCAGGCGGGAUUACCCGCUGAACUUAAGCAUAUCAAUAA
rnacentral:misc_RNA from 1 species